AGUCAAUUGAAGGAGAAGGACUGCUCAUGGAUAAUCAUUAAAUAUAUGAACUCAAAUAUGAGUGCAUAUUUGAGUUCAUAUAUUUAAUGAUUAUCCAUGAGCAGUCCUUCUCCUUCAAUUAGCU
rnacentral:miRNA from 1 species